rnacentral:rRNA from 1 species
GAUGAACGCUAGCGGCAGGCCUAACACAUGCAAGUCGAGGGGCAGCAUAGAUAGCUUGCUAUCUGAUGGCGACCGGCGCACGGGUGCGUAACGCGUAUACAACCUACCUAUUACUGAGGGAUAGCCCGAAGAAAUUUGGAUUAAUACCUCAUAGAAUUAUAAGAUGGCAUCAUUUAAUAAUUAAAGGUUACGGUAAUAGAUGGGUAUGCGUCCUAUUAGCUAGAUGGUGAGGUAACGGCUCACCAUGGCGACGAUAGGUAGGGGUCCUGAGAGGGAGAUCCCCCACACUGGUACUGAGACACGGACCAGACUCCUACGGGAGGCAGCAGUGAGGAAUAUUGGACAAUGGAGGCAACUCUGAUCCAGCCAUGCCGCGUGUAGGAAGACGGCCCUAUGGGUUGUAAACUACUUUUGUACGGGAAGAAAUACAGUCACGUGUGAUUGUUUGACGGUACCGUAAGAAUAAGCACCGGCUAACUCCGUGCCAGCCGCCGCCGUAACAC